rnacentral:lncRNA from 1 species
CCGAUCGCACCACAGGUCGCCUUAUGUUGUGUCAUAAAAAAACGAAUACCUGAUGGCUUUAUGAAGGUGAUAUGUGGAUAUUAAGCUUACAGGAAGCGCUUGCUAACGUAAUUUAUGCAAUUCACGAUGUACUCAUUCAUU